AUGGGGAAGAGAGGAGGGAGAAGAAGAGAGGAGGAAGAAGAGUGGAAGACGGGGAAGAAAGUGCAUUCAAUCUCAAUUCUACUAGUACUACUACCAGGAUAUACCGUCCUUCGGAGUGUAAAUAGUAACACCGAUGACAUGUGGGUCUACCACAACAGGGCCCAUAUGUCAGUUAAUGGAGGACAGAGGAGCAUGGGCUACAUGUCCUCCUCCAGGUUCCAGUCCCAGGUGUUCUUCAUGGAUGGCAUGAUCCAUAGCGGUGGGAAACGGGAAUCAUUGUCGCAGCUUUCUAGUCCGGUUCCACAUGAUGGAGACUCAUCCAAGCUGAAGCGGCAUAAAUCAGGGAUAGUGUGUCCCAGCAUGUCGUUCAUCCGGCGGUGCGCACUGAAGACACAACCAUGCUUCAUGAACGGCAGGCCUUCCGUGUCAUGCACGGAAGCCACUCUUGGCUACAUGGAUGAGAUAGGCCAAGGAGCUACAGUUGGAAGUGGAGGGUACUACUGUUCUCUAGAACCAUCGAUGUACUAUCAAUGCAGGGGAACUGAUGAGGAAGCUGCAAGCGAGGUGGGGCUAGGGCGAGCACGCGAGCCACAGGAUGCUGGAAAGGAAAACCCGUUCAUGUGGCUAGGAUGUCCAGUGCACCCAGAUUGUGGGGCCGCACUCAUCCUCGGCCAUGGGAUGCAGCUAGCGCCGCCGGCAGAAGGCGAGGUCAAAACCUCUAGCGGUGCGGAGCCCAUGUUACGGCAGCCCGGAUGCCAGAUUGGUACGGCAGCGCGGCGGCUUCCUCACGCGCGCCACGCUAAGGCCAGCCAUCUGGCUCGAGCGAAGGCUAGUGCGGCGGCUUGCUCGCUCGUGAGUCACGCUCGGGCCAGCCUGCCAACCCGUGUGAACGCCAGCGCGGUAUCCGGCCCGUCCGGCGGAGCGGCGGCCAACUCGCUCAUCACCGGCGCCACCAACAAACACGCAUCAGUACUGUUUGAAGGAAGGAGCUGGGGUGGGUCCGCAUGUGGGAGAGAUAGAAAGAGGAGAGUGGUGCACAAGGAGACAAAGAUAAACACAUUUGGAAUUUCAUUUGAAUUGGACCGUAUGAUGGGCUGCUUUGGUAACUCCAUUGUUUUCCCCUCUUUGCCCCCAACAUUCUUCCCCAGAGCCCCACCCCUUCCCCUCCCCGACCCCCCCAACCACGGCAAGCCGCCGAAUCUAGUCCUCCGCUGUAGCGGUGGACCUCACACCCCGCCGGAUCUACCUUCCGCACCUUGGAACCCCCAACUGCCAACUCACCACUUCACCGGAGCCGCUUCAGCGACUGGCUUGUCCACCGCUCCAGAUCUCCUUGACCGCCAUCAUGGUCCACCGCACCGGAUCUGCUUAACCGGCGCCCUCAUCCACCACAGCAUAGGCCCUUCACUGACUCCCUCGUCCGCCCCUUCGUUGGCCCUUCAUACAAGCCCUCGUCCGCCGCAACAGAUCCACCUCACCGAAAGCACUGUACAACGCGCCCGCCGAAGCCUUCGUCCACUGCACCGGACCCGCUCCACGGACGCCAUAUUCAACUCCACCGGCCCUGCUUUACCGACGCCGCAGCCUCAUCAGAUUUGCAACCACGGGAUGCUGACGAUAUCUUCAAAGAACAUUGCAACAACAGCUAGGCUUCACAGCAACAUAUGUUUGCCAUGCUCGGCAAUAAUUCGUCCAUCGUUUACCAUAGGCAACACCACCGGAGAGCAGUCUGAGACAUAUAUUAUAGUGCUUGAGGCUCUACUAGAGGCAGAAAGAGAUGGUGUGGCUGCCAUGAAUGAGGUAAUCUUUAUCUUGAGGCUGGAAAUUACGGAAUUAGCGGCACGCAUUAUGCAAGCAACCCAAGAAUUGGAGGAAGUAAGAAUGUUGCAUUUGAAGACGGAGGAUGUCCUACUGUUUCUGCUAUCUGAAGCCCAAGGCGAGCGAAGCUUCACCCAGACUCUAGGCACAGUGAAGGUCUUGGCACUAGAAUCUGUCGUCCCCAACCUGGACCAAGUUUUCAGUUGCCUGAGAUGCUUUCCGUGCCUGAAGAAGUUGUAUAUCAAGUGCAUAUUAGGCCUAGUGGAAGAUGUUGAUAACGAUAAUCACAUCGAAUGCCUGGACCUGCAUCUCUCAAAUAUUACUUUGAACUCCUACCAAGGGACCCCACCGGAGAUUACACUUGCCAUGUUCUUUCUUGCUAGAGCAAAGGCGCCGAGGGUACUGAGGUUGAACACGCAUUUAAUUAGGAAAGAUCAAUGUUGUGACCUGGGAUCCGGCAUUGGUGGGGCAGUCCUAGAGCUGGACGUUCACGUUGCCCUGCACACUGAAGCUGGUUUCUGCACCAGCCUCUCGGGAAGCUGGACGUUCACGUUGCCCUGCACACUGAAGCUGGUUUCUGCACCAGCCUCUUGGGUGUGUGCCGAACCUUUGUCACCAUCCUGUGACCAGCCACAUGCCUUGCUUGCACCACCCCAGGCGCCACUGCGCACCCAUGGCAGCCCUCGCCGUUCAUCGACCUUACCAAGGAUGACGACGAGGAGUAGGGUAACGGUGGACAGCCUGAAUGACAGCGGCGGCGGCUACAACCGAUCUAAACGGUAUGGGAGCGAACACCGACAAUCUGACGGCAGAAAAGAACGGCUGAAAGCGCAGCGCAGAUUUGAGUCAGGGCGGCGGGUCCUUUCCGAUUCGGCGCCCGAACGGUUCCGAACAGUUUCUGGCAAAUGCAUCCGAUUCGUGUCAGCACGGUACGCACCCCCUCCGACCAUCCAUUUUUCUCGCCCAACAUACUAUACUAGAGGGAUCCGCACCGCGUGUGCGGCGCGUGUGCUCGGCAAAUUCCUCAUCUGGUUGCCGGUCGGGCCCCAACCCGCAAAGUCCCCGACAGCGCCUUCACUAGUAGAGCCGCGUCCCGCCCCGCCCCGCGUCCGCUGCUCCGCGCGCGACCCUCACCGGCCCCGUAGUGGCGAAGCCAACACGACCAGCUGGCUCGGCAUCGCCCGUCACACUCGGGCCCUCCUGUCCUGUCCUGUCCUGUCCUCACCGCGAGUGCCCGCACCACGCGGCGACGCAUUCCACUUCCACCCCCCUUCAAAUCUCUCUCUUUCUCCCUUCGCCUCCGAGAAGCUCGGUCUCACCUCACGCACCACCAGCGCGCCGGCGUUCUCCCCUCCACCGUGCCGACCGACCCCGAGCGGCGCCGCGGCUGACCCAGCGUGA
rnacentral:rRNA from 1 species